UACAGGGGGUGCAAACGUUGCUGGGAAUCAUUGGGCGUAAAGCGCACGUAGGCGGUUCGUUAUGUCGGAUGUGAAAGCCCUUGGCUUAACCGAGGAAGUGCAUCCGAAACUGGCGAGCUAGAGUACUAAAGAGGAUCGCGGAAUUCCCGGUGUAGAGGUGAAAUUCGUAGAUAUCGGGAGGAACACCGGUGGCGAAGGCGGCGAUCUGGGUAGAUACUGACGCUGAGGUGCGAAAGCGUGGGGAGCAAACAGG
rnacentral:rRNA from 1 species